rnacentral:rRNA from 1 species
GAUGAACGCUAGCUACAGGCUUAACACAUGCAAGUCGAGGGGUAACAAGAGAAAAGCUUGCUUUUCUUGUUGACGACCGGCGCACGGGUGAGUAACGCGUAUCCAACCUGCCUAUAACUAGGGAAUAACCUUGCGAAAGUAAGACUAAUACCCUAUGAUUUCCUUUGAUGACAUCAGAUUAGGAAUAAAGAUUUAUCGGUUAUAGAUGGGGAUGCGUCUGAUUAGCUUGUUGGCGGGGUAACGGCCCACCAAGGCAACGAUCAGUAGGGGUUCUGGGAGGAAGGUCCCCCACAUUGGAACUGAGACACGGUCCAAACUCCUACGGGAGGCAGCAGUGAGGAAUAUUGGUCAAUGGGCGGAAGCCUGAACCAGCCAAGUAGCGUGCAGGAUGACGGCCCUAUGGGUUGUAAACUGCUUUUAUACAGGAAUAAAGUUAGCCACGUGUGGUUAUUUGUAGGUACUGUAUGAAUAAGGAUCGGCCAAUUCCGUGCCAGCAGCCGCGGUAA